UGGGGUACAAGCUAUCAGAUGUGUAUUUCCAUCCACCAUCUUGAUGUGGAAGUUCUUUUUCCACUUUGUGUUCAAUGUUGGUCAAGACCCAUGAAACUGACCCCAUGCCCGAUAGUCACUACUCGCAGGUCAGAAAUGCUCAUUUGAGGUGGACAUUUACAGCAUGCCUGCAGCUUUUUUCUUCUUUUAAUUUAUUGUUUUGAAUUACUAGUUUCCUUUUUCUCUGUGUCCUUGUAUGUGACACUCUUUGAC
rnacentral:lncRNA from 1 species